CCUGUGCGAAACGUACAUACAUAGCGCAAAUAAAUGGAAAUGCUUUAGUUAGUGAGACAAAAAUAAAAAUAUAAACGUUUUUGCUAGCGCACAGGCUGACAGGCGCCUGAUUUUUAUUCCAAAUCAGGCGAUUUGGGCACCGUCAGAUCAUGCAUCAACUGUGAGAAUUUCGCUCCCCCUUCCGGUGAGCUCCCACCUCCUUCCAAGCGCCCUUCUCAGGCGGCUCUCCCGCGUGGGCGCGGCUGACGCCAGCGCCGCCGCUUCCUACAACCGCUCCGGUCCGACGCAGCGGCCAAGACCGCCUCCGUAUCCUCGAGGUCGCCAUACUUCUCCGGCGCGCGGCGGCUGGGCAGCGGCACGCGGAGGCCGGAGGAGCACGCGCUGGUGUGCGUCGGCGAGGAGGACGGGCCCGUAGAGGCGCGGCGGGGUGCUCGUCGGCGUCGGAGUUUGCUCGCUCCCUUCCAGUGAACGCUUCCCCCCUAUCGUGCUGUGGCUCAGUUUGUUUGCUCGAGAUUUUGCCGUUGAUUUUUGCUGAUUUUGACGUCGCUAGGCGAAGUCAGGAAGGGCAAGGCCAUCUCUGUCCUCUCCAGCAUCUGCUUGUGCACGUGCGGUGAGUGCUCUUUGGCCAAUUCUGCAAUCGGAUUUGUCUCUCACGUUCAUCUUGCACCGUUGCACGUGCACCUCGGCCAGGUUAGCACAGUAUGAAGGUUUACCACCCUUUCAUUUAGCUGUGCUCAUCCUUGCAGAUUCUGGAGGUUAGAUAGUCUAGGACCAAAGGAAAUCUGUGUAUUUUCAUUUUAUUAGUGAUUUUUUGUGUUACGAUCUUGUGCUUUGGUUGUAAGAUUAUCGGCGUAUCUCCUGCAUAUCGUCUCUUUUUGUUUUUCCAUUGGUUUAACUUCUUCUUCCUCAUUCGUUUCAGAUUGUUGUUUUGCAAAUAUACUUCAGAACACACUGACCUACCGAAUUGAGGUGGCAUAUCUCCUGUUAUUAUCUGCAUGAAAUAUGUUCAUCUGUUUUCUUUUGACAUUUAUCAGCAUUGACUUCUUCAGUACGUACAUGUAUUAGAUCAGAUAUGCCUUUCAGUUAUGCAUUUUGCCUUUGUUAAGAAAUCCUAUUAUGUCUUUGUUUGAACGAUAGUUAGGUAAUUUCUCGAUUUUCAGGCCAAACUUGGUGCUGUGCUUAGUAAUUUUAUAGAGCAUAUACAACAGUCAACAGUUUGUAGUGAGUUGUUGGAUUAGAGUCUUGUAUUGACCACUCAGGUUGUUUUAGUUUGUGUCGACAAGUUCCAUAGAAGGAAAUGCUUCCCUUGCCAAGGCUAACUUGUAUACACAAAAAUUAGUGAUGACUUAAUUGCACAGAUGGCCACAAGACACAAGGAGUGAACAUAUGGGAAGAAUGAAAUUCAAAAGAAUUGGUGUACUGAUAGACAUGGCGUUUAGUAUUUUUUUUAUGACAAAUUCGUUGAUUCUUUAUGUCAGAGGUUUCUCUCUUUUAAGCUGCCAGUUUGUCACCUCCAUUCAGUUCUCAUAUAUGCAGGUUCUGGAUUGUAUAUAACUUAUUAUGCAAUGCAAAGGUACAAAUUUUAUUUUGAAACGUAUGAGAACAACUGAGAGAUACACCCCUGUAUUUGGGGGAAUGUCUAUUGUAUUGUUUGAUGUUUAGUGUACUUUAAAACAACUUCAAAUUUCAUCCACAAUCUGCAGUGUUUUGUUCGGAUUCAGCAAUAAAGUGCUUAAUGAGAACCUUGUGAGUUGUCUUGUUUAUUUCCAUCUUUGUUCAUAGUCAGGUUUGUACCCAAGUUCCAAGUGUUCUUCUCUGUAGUGGUGGACCUCUCAUUUGCCCAGAUCUUGUGAAGCAAAGACAAAGUGAAUUUGCCAUGAAAAUAUCAACUUAUGCAAACGUUAUUCUCUUGGCAUUGAAGACAUACGCCAUAGCUGCAUUGACCCUUGAUUCGUUGCUUGAUCUCAUGGUUGGUGGUAUCCUUUGUUUCACACAUCCGUCGAUGAAGAGCUGAUGUGUGUCAAAUAUACGCCUUUUUGUUUGUGUUAAGAAGCUCUAGGUUUGUUGUCUUUGGGUGGUCUAAUCAUGUGUUCAUAUGGUUACCCUAUCAUAUAUGUCUGUCAAACCAAACACUUAUUCUUAAAGGAUAUAUGCUAUGCUGCUAGAAAUGUAAUCUUUUGGGACUCUUAUGUAUGAAUCAUGCUAUCAUAUCAUUUGUGGAGCAUUUUGUUUCUCCUUUUGUUCC